rnacentral:lncRNA from 1 species
UUCCCUCACCCCUUGCGUCGCGGCGCAGCCGGUUACUCUCGCUCACGUUGUCGCGGCUGCCGGUCACUCUCACUCACGCCGGCUAUCUAUCUCGUUGCCCAGGUAUUCCCUAUUCUCUUCUGUUUUACCAGCAAAACCAUAGGCAUUUUCCCCCUUCAUUAAUUAGUCAAAUAAUACCGCAUGUUUUUGUUUUGAUUUCUUGUUUAUGCAAUCUAUUCGGGGGCGUCAAUUGUGUUUUUGGUGUUUUGGAUUUCUCAGAGCAUCGAUGGGUACUAGAAAGUAGAAAAUCCUAAGACAAGACUUCGAUUGACGAGAAUGAGAUUCGGAUUACAAGCAUGACUCUGCUACAUCACUUACAACAUGACUCUGCUCCAGGUGUUUCUCUAUAUUUAUUGGGUUAUUUCAAUGCUAAUUGUUUGAUUUUGCUGAAAUUAUGUCACCUGUUACAUACACUGCUUUGUCCUUUGAAUUCUCUUUUCAAGUUUUGGGGAUGGUAUUUUUACGUGCUUGUGUUUAUUUCAUUGUUUAGAAUGUAGAUUGAAUGUUAACAUCGUGUUGCGGUCCUUGCAGAUACUCAUUAAUACGUUAUAAUGAUUUUUAUUUUUUACCGAUGAACCUUAAAUUAUAAAAGAUUAUGUGAAACAAAUUUUUGAAUGUGCAUUGGUGUAUUGGAUGGCUCAAUUUGUUGCUGAAUAUGACUAGUAGUGAUUCAUGGUACUUAAUCUUGAAUGUCAUUUCUAAACAUAAAAGUCAAUUCCUGUAAUUUUGAGCUCUUUUAAAUCAUUCAACCUGCUCUAUCUUUUCUAUUUUUUUUUUUAUCAUUUAAGUUCAUGUGAUCCUAAAAACAAUUAGGAAUCUCGGCCAACUUAUUAAUAAAUCUAUUUUUAAUUAAAAGGUUCACCAAGACCUUUUUGUCAUGAAAGUAUCUAUGAUCGGUUUUGGCUUGCAGUUGCUCUAGGUUGCAUUUAACGACGUGUUGUGAGUUUGUUAUCCUUCUUUAUCAUCUCUUUUAAUUCCUUCUGUUUGAAAGGGGCCAAUUCUUUUUGGCUAAUUCCUUUGCAAGUGUAAAUUAGUUUGAUUGGCUUUGUUGAGAAGGUACUGGUUCUUCUUUUUCGGUGUUUUGGGACUUGCCUUGACUUGAUUUAAAAAGUGCCUGAUUUAAAUUUUUCUAUGUUGCUAGAAUGCUGAUUUUAGGUGUAACAAUACAUAAGCCAAAG